UUCUUUUUUUACUAAUUCUUCUCAGUUAUUCAUUAAGGACAGAGGGGUAAUUGCACACCAAAGAGUGGUACUCAGAAUAAAAAGUGGUACGUCAGAAUUGUUUUUCAAAAAUGAUGGCAGAAUAGAACGUGGCUCCCUAAGAGCAUCAUUAUUGAUGGUAUUUUAGCCAAAUCUUAGGCUAAAAUUUGUGAAGAAAGAGCUUUUAUAUAAGAACUUUUAGACUUAUAUAACAGCUUUUUUCACAAAUCUUAGCCUAAAAUUUUGCUAAUAUAU
rnacentral:sRNA from 1 species